GACGAACCGUGCGAACGUUAUUCGGAAUCAUUGGGCUUAAAGGGCGCGUAGGCGGCCUGCUAAGUCGAACGUGAAAUCCCUGGGCUCAACCCAGGAACUGCGUCCGAUACUGGUUGGCUUGAAUCCGGGAGAGGGAUGUGGAAUUCCAGGUGUAGCGGUGGAAUGCGUAGAGAUCCGGAAGAACACCGGUGGCGAAGGCGGCCUGCUGGGCAGUUUAGCUGACACUGAGGCGCGACAGCGUGGGGAGCAAACAGG
rnacentral:rRNA from 1 species